rnacentral:rRNA from 1 species
AACAGGAUUAGAUACCCUGGUAGUCCACGCUGUAAACGAUGUCGACUUGGAGGUUGUUCCCUUGAGGAGUGGCUUCCGGAGCUAACGCGUUAAGUCGACCGCCUGGGGAGUACGGCCGCAAGGUUAAAACUCAAAUGAAUUGACGGGGGCCCGCACAAGCGGUGGAGCAUGUGGUUUAAUUCGAUGCAACGCGAAGAACCUUACCUACUCUUGACAUCCAGAGAACUUAGCAGAGAUGCUUUGGUGCCUUCGGGAACUCUGAGACAGGUGCUGCAUGGCUGUCGUCAGCUCGUGUUGUGAAAUGUUGGGUUAAGUCCCGCAACGAGCGCAACCCUUAUCCUUUGUUGCCAGCGAUUCGGUCGGGAACUCAAGGGAGACUGCCAGUGAUAAACUGGAGGAAGGUGGGGAUGACGUCAAGUCAUCAUGGCCCUUACGAGUAGGGCUACACACGUGCUACAAUGGCAUAUACAAAGAGAAGCGACCUCGCGAGAGCAAGCGGACCUCAUAAAGUAUGUCGUAGUCCGGAUUGGAGUCUGCAACUCGACUCCAUGAAGUCGGAAUCGCUAGUAAUCGUGGAUCAGAAUGCCACGGUGAAUACGUUCCCGGGCCUUGUACACACCGCCCGUCACACCAUGGGAGUGGGUUGCAAAAGAAGUAGGUAGCUUAACCUUCGGGAGGGCGCUUACCACUUUGUGAUCCAUGACUGGGGUGAAGUCGUAACAAGGUAACC